ACCAUCCGGCAGCGCGGCGGCGCUGCCGGGAUUCAAUUCCAGCAGAAGCUGUUCGUAUAAGGCGUUCAUAUAAGCAUAGG
rnacentral:sRNA from 1 species